GCGCUUCCGGCCGCUGCCCUCAGCGGACGGGUCCUGCCCACCCUCCCCAGCUGCGGGGCGCGGCCCAGUGAGCCUUCCCCGAGUUCUCGCCCGAGAAGCGAGAAGCGGCCGCUGCCUUGGCGAUCGGAAGGCGGGGCCCGCUCAGCACCGUCCAGAACUCGCCUGGGCUCUGGCAGGCCGGGGGCGAGGCCGAGACUUGGCUGGGCUGUCCCUUCCGCCGGCCUCGGCUGGCAGCUCUUCCGGCGGCGGGCGAGGCAAGCGAGCUGCUGCUUCCUCUCACCGCCUUCCCACGCCCGCUCGCACCAGCAUCUCGCGGAUGGCGGAGGCCCGGCAGGAGAGGCUGUGGCAGGUUUAACUGGGCUCUGCAGCCCCCACCUCGCCGGUGCACGGCUUCCCCAGCGCAGGUCUGGGAUGGGGAAGGAAGGGAUCUAAAUGGCAGAUGCAGAGCUCACCAGGAGCUUUAAUCUGAGAAGAUCGUAGCACUUAAUGGGAUCGGUGGACAUUGCUGGAUUAUGAUUUUUUUUUUUUUUUGGUACCGGGGGAUGGAACUCGGGUCCUUGCGCUUGCGCAGCAGGCGAUGAAACCACUGAGCGAAAUCCCCGGCCCUGGACUAUGAUUUUAACACUGGGAGAUCAAAUAAGCUUAAAAUCUGUUUGCCUCCUGAGUGCUGCGAUCACAGGUGUGGGCCACCACACCCAGCUAGUCUCUUUUCUGACACCGGAACGACCUUCGUACUUCAGCACAGGGGACUGCUGGAGGACUCAGACACCAGAGUUAGAGCUCCCGGGGUUCUGUCGCGCUGCGAGUCGGGUCACGGUGGUCACCACUGAGCUCGGAGGCCAGGACAUGCUGACUCUGGAAAACACAAUCGCCUUGGCCACCUCCCUUCCAGCUUCCUUCUAGUGUGCUGUGUCUCCAUUUUAACCAGUGAUGUGCCACGAUACUGAUACAUAAAACCCACAGGAACAAUGGCUUUUGAGUGCCUCAGCAAUUUUUAAGAAUGUAAAGAGAUUCGGAGACCGAAAGCUUGAGAACCACUACUAUAAGAAGCUGGUUUUAGGGCCAGGGAUUUAGCUCAGUGGUUUCGACGCCUGCUGCGCAAGUGCAAGGACCCGAGUUUGAUCUCCGGUACCAAAAAAAAAAAAAGUGAGUUUUACUUGGUAAUGCCAACGUGUUUGCUAAAGUGCUUGUACCAGUUCCCACCCUGGUGGCAAUGGCUCAGAGUUCCCCAUGCCCCGUAUCUAGCACACACUUGCGCUUAGCUGUCUUUGACAUUUGCCAAUCAAAGCUAGGUGUGGUGGCACACACCUGUAAUCUCAACACUCAGGAGGCUGAGGCGGGAGGAUCGCCCUAAGUUUGAGCCCAGCCUGGGCUACACGGUGAGUUCAAGGCCAGCGUGAACUACAUAGCAAGACAGUGUCUCAAAAAACAAAACAAAACCUUUUGCCAAUUGGAUGGCUGUUAUAUAGUUUGCAGUUCCCUGUUUACGAGUGAAGUUGGUUUUUCACAUGAGCCCUCUUUUGUGAAAUUCCUAUUUAUGUGUCAUGCUCUUUUCCCCGUUAAGUUUUAUGUUUCUUUUUUCCUUAUUCAUUCAUGAUUUCUUUAUAUAUUCUGGAUAUCAGUCCUGUGUCAGCAUAACAUCUCACCCAUAUUUCCUCCCAGUUUAUGUGUUGUCUUUUGUACUUGUAUUGAAUACAUGAAUCAACUUGGAGAAACUUUACAUCUUUUCAGUAAUUGUGUCUUCCCGUGAAAAAGAGUAUGUAUCCCUCCGUUUACUAGAUCUUCUUAAUAUCUCUCAAUAAACAAUAAUUUUCUCUACAAA